GAUGAAGAACGUAGCGAAAUGCGAUAAGUAAUGUGAAUUGCAGAAUUCAGUGAAUCAUCGAAUCUUUGAACGCACAUUGCGCCCGCCAGUAUUCUGGCGGGCAUGCCUGUUCGAGCGUCAUUACAACCCUCAGGCCCCCGGGCCUGGCGUUGGGGAUCGGCGGAGCCCCCCGUGGGCACACGCCGUCCCCCAAAUGCAGUGGCGGUCCCGCCGCAGCUUCCAUCGCGUAGUAGCUAACACCUCGCGACUGGAGAGCGGCGCGGCCACGCCGUAAAACACCCAACUCUUCUGAAGUUGACCUCGUAUCAGGUAGGAAUACCCGCUGAACUUAAGCAUAUCAAUAAGCGGAGGA
rnacentral:misc_RNA from 1 species